ACAUCUGAAGGCAGCCCUGUAUAGGGAAGUUUUAAAAUGUUUAAUGUUUUUAUAUAAGCUGGAAGCCACCCAGAGUGGCUGGGGCAACCCAAUCAGAUGGGUGGGAUAUAAAUAAUAAAAUCAUUAUUAUUACGAUUAUUAUUAUUAUUGGUGGUGUUGUUGAAUAGGAUGUCCCUAUUUUAAUCGGAUAAAUGUUGGAGGAUAUAUUUCCUUAAGUGUAUCUGGGUCGACAGCAUAGUCAGGAAGCAGUAGGGGAACACAGGAUUUAUUUAUUUUUUAAAUUUAUGUUUUUCAGAUUUAUACAUUUCACUAAUUUUACAAUCAUUUAACAUUUCCAAACCUGACUUCCUUCCCCCUCUUUCUGCAGUUCCUUGAAUUUAUUUUUAAUAUCUUCUGCAUAUCCAAGUUAACUUAAUUUGCUCAUUUAUUUAUCUACUUUAUAUAUAUACUCUUAUAAAACUGCAGGUUAUUACAACAAUCCUGCCAAUGUUCUCACCUGUUUACAAUAUAUCUGUAAAUAUUCAAUAAAUCAUUUCCAUUCUUUUAUAU